rnacentral:misc_RNA from 1 species
GUGGAACUCUUCGCCUCAACUUGUCCCAUUUCUUCCCCCCUUUCUAUUUCAUCCAUCUAUAAAACCUGGAAGACAGAUAUAUCUUCUUUUGAUCUCUUCAUUUCCAUUUGUCUUUCCUGCAAAAAAUCUCUCUCUGAAAGGCUGAAACUUUCCGCACCCAUCUCUAAAUCCUCUCUGCUCAACACAACUUUCCAAUCAGAAGCAUGGGAUUUGAUAAAGAGGCAAGCUCGUCCUCUCAUGUGCUUCAUGUACCAUCCUUUCCAAGAGAAGACACCCCACUUCUAGGCAAGAAAACCCCACUUUCCUCUACGUUCAAGACCUUUGCCAACGUCUUCAUAGCCAUAGUAGGAGCGGGUGUUCUUGGCCUCCCUUACACCUUCAAGAAAACAGGAUGGCUAAUGGGUUCUCUCAUGCUCUUCUCUAUUGCUUUCCUUACCUACUAUUGUAUGAUGCUCCUCGUCCACACUCGCCGCAAGCUCGAAUCUAUUCAAGGCUUCUCAAAGAUAGCUUCUUUUGGUGAUCUGGGCUAUACUGUUUGUGGUCCCGUUGGUCGUUUUGCUGUGGAUGCCAUGAUCGUCCUUGCACAAGCUGGGUUUUGUGUUAGCUAUCUCAUUUUCAUCGCAAACACUUUAGCCUAUGUUUUUAAUCGUCAAUCAAAUGAAAAAAUUCUGGGUUUUUUAAGUCCCAAGUCUUUGUAUAUAUGGGGUUGUUUUCCUUUCCAGUUGGGCUUGAAUUCGAUUCCAACACUGACCCAUUUGGCUCCUCUGAGUAUUUUUGCUGAUGUGGUUGAUCUUGGAGCUAUGGGUGUGGUGAUGGUGGAGGAUGUGGUUGCCUUCUUAAAAAAUAAGCCUGUUUUGGAGGCUUUUAGUGGGUUUUCUGUUUUCUUUUAUGGUUUGGGUGUGGCUGUCUAUGCCUUUGAAGGGAUUGGCAUGGUAUUGCCAUUAGAAUCUGAGGCAAAGGACAAGGACAAGUUUGGAAAAGUGUUGGGAUUAUGUAUGGCAUUCAUUUCUCUGUUGUAUGGAGGAUUUGGGGUUCUGGGUUACUUUGCCUUUGGUGAAGCAACCAAAGAUAUAAUCACCACUAACUUGGGGCCGGGGUUGGUGAGCAAUCUUGUUCAGUUUGGUCUGUGUGUGAACCUGUUCUUCACAUUUCCAUUGAUGAUGAACCCCGUUUAUGAGGUGGUGGAGAGGCGGUUUUGCGAUUCUAGGUACUGUUUGUGGCUGAGAUGGGUGGUGGUUUUUGCAGUAAGCAUGGUGGCUCUGUUAGUACCCAAUUUUGCAGAUUUCUUGUCUCUUGUGGGGAGCAGUGUGUGCUGUGCUCUUGGAUUUGUGCUGCCUGCUCUGUUUCACUUGAUGGUAUUCAAGGAAGAGUUUGGUUGGAGUGGUUUGGUUAUUGAUUCGACCAUUCUAGUUUUUGGGGUCGUCGUUGCAGUUACCGGAACCUGGUCUUCUUUAUUGGAGAUAUUCGGGUCUAGUUCUUCCUAAGUGACAAGAUUUUAAUCUUCCUUGUCCUUUCUUGUUUUGCCAUCUUGAGAGCCUUAUUCGUUGUUGAAAAACAUGGAAAAUUCUUAGCUGAGGAUAGGAUGAAGUCCUUAGCUGUUAACUGGACUUCAUUUCUCCCAAUCCAGUUAUCCUUUCUGUUAUCUGAGAAUAAGAUGUACUUUUCUCAGUCUUGAAUAAAAAUUUUUCUUCCGAUAUAAAAAAAAAAAAAAA